AGGCAUUCCAUGACCUCCAGUGAAGCAGAACUUCCAAACACAGCCGAGGAGUCACAAAGAUGAAGAAGGGAAUUCGGGAUUAGGUGACUGGUCUAAGACCACUCAGCUUGUUAGAACUGAACCAAAGCUCUAGAGCUGAGACUCACAUCGAAGUACUUCUUCCUUUCUUUAGAAAACAGAGAGUGGCUGUAUCAACAGUAAGUUGAAUAUUGUUCUCCAAACUCAGAAGCAAUUUGGACCUUAAACCCAAAAGAACCCUCGGAGUGGGCUCUCAGGAGGUCAGCUUAUAGACGCCCUUCCUCCUUGCCUCCUGGGACCAGGGAGCCAUGGUGCUAAACAGCCUCUACGAUGGCUCUCAAAGGCCAGACGAAAGGCCAGCCCUAGCCUGGCCUGAGAACUUGUUACAAAGAUCCAUUCUUGGGCUGGAGCCCAGACCCACUGGACGGAAAGCUGUUGGGGUGACUUGGGUGUCCACUCUGGUUUAAAAGCCGUGAGUCCAUCUGAUCAAUGUACCAGCUAUCUCUACCCCUAGUACAAUGCGAGAUGUUUUGCCGUUUUUUAGAAAUGCUGGUUUGCUUGGCUUGCACAUUCUGGGAAUGAGAUUUUAAAGGACCCACACAGCCAUUUUCUGACACUAAUUGUUCCUCUUUGCAAGUGAAAGCACAUUCAAACUGAA